GUUCUCCAAUCAAGUAGGACUACCCGCUGAACUUAAGCAUAUCAAUAAGCGGAGGAAAAGAAACUAACAAGGAUUCCCCUAGUAACGGCGAGUGAAGUGGGAAAAGCUCAACUUUGUAAUCUGGCUCUUUUAGAGUCCGAGUUGUAGUCUAGAGAAGUGAUAUCCGCGUCGGACCUUAAACAAGGCUGUUGGAAUGCAGCGUCGUAGAGGGUGAGAAUCCCGUACAUGUUGAGGACUCCCGUAUGCAUUGUGAUACAUUUUCAAAGAGUCGAGUUGUUUGGGAAUGCAGCUCAAAUUGGGUGGUAAAUUCCAUCUAAAGCUAAAUAUUGGCGAGAGACCGAUAGCGAACAAGUACCGUGAGGGAAAGAUGAAAAGCACUUUGGAAAGA
rnacentral:rRNA from 1 species